rnacentral:rRNA from 1 species
GAUGAACGCUAGCGGCAGGCCUAACACAUGCAAGUCGAGGGGCAGAGCACUUCGGUGUUUGAGACCGGCGCACGGGUGCGUAACGCGUAUGCAAUCUGCCUUACACUAAGGGAUAGCCCAGAGAAAUUUGGAUUAAUACCUUAUAGUAUAUUGAUGUGGCAUCACAUUAUUAUUAAAGAUUUAUCGGUGUCAGAUGAGCAUGCGUCCCAUCAGCGAGUUGGUGUGGUAACGGCAUACCAAGGCGAUGAUGGGUAGGGGUCCUGAGAGGGAGAUCCCCCACACUGGUACUGAGACACGGACCAGAAUCCUACGGGAGGCAGCAGUGAGGAAUAUUGGACAAUGGGCGCAAGCCUGAUCCAGCCAUGCCGCGUGCAGGAUGAAGCAUCUAUGGUGUGUAAACUGCUUUUGUACGGGAAGAAACACCUCUUCGUGAAGAGGCUUGACGGUACCGUAAGAAUAAGGACCGGCUAACUCCGUGCCAGCCGCCGCGGUAAAAC